rnacentral:tRNA from 1 species
UAAACUAUUUUGGCAAAAAAAUGUAAUGAUUUUAAAAGUCAUAAAUGUAUAGAUUAUUAUAUAGGUA